rnacentral:rRNA from 1 species
GACGAACGCUGGCGGCGUGCUUAACACAUGCAAGUCGAACGGAAAGGCCUGCUUUCCCUUGUGGAUUGCGGGUACUCGAGUGGCGAACGGGUGAGUAACACGUGAGUGAUCUGCCCCCAACUUGGGUAUAAGCCUGGGAAACUGGGUCUAAUUCCCGAUAGGACUGCAGGGUGGUGCCUGUGGUGGAAAACGAUUUUCUAGUGGUUGGGGAUGAGCUCGCGGCCUAUCAGCUUGUUGGUGGGGUAAUGGCCUACCAAGGCGGCGACGGGUAGCCGGCCUGAGAGGGUGGACGGCCACAUUGGGACUGAGAUACGGCCCAGACGCCGACGGGAGGCAGCAGUGGGGAAUAUUGCACAAUGGGCGGAAGCCUGAUGCAGCGACGCCGCGUGGGGGAUGACGGCCUUCGGGUUGUAAACUCCUUUCGACCGCGAGGAAGCCACCUGGUUGGAAGGGUGGUGACGGUAGUGGUAGAAGAAGCACCGGCUAACUACGUG